rnacentral:lncRNA from 1 species
CACUGAGCACCUUCCACAUACAAGAUAGUGGGCUAGGCACCAGGAAUACAACAGGAAACACACUAGACAUGGCUCUGCCCUCACGGGGCUUUUCUAAUACCACAGUUCAGUAGAUGAUGAUAUCCUUACUGGACCAGACACACAACCAACUUCAUUUACUCCAGAAUUGGGCUCCACAGUUGCAGCUGUCCUGGGAAGCACAUAGGCUCAGAUUCCAUACCCUGAGUGGUAAGGUCUUGAGCAUUUUGGCUCUUAAUCACUCACUGAAGUAGAAAGAAUCCACCUCCUUGCCCAAGCACUGAGUCCCUGGUGUCAAGCCCGAGUGACCAACUGAGAAUGCACUUGCCCUUCAGAAUUUUCAUAGAUUAGUGGAAGAAACUGCUGCUAACCCAUAAAGGGGGAGAGGAGAGGAUCAUCUUAUGGCAACCUUUGGGUUUACACAACGAAAUAGAAGCCACUGAGGAAAGCCUUCACAGAGCAAUUGAGACUAGUGAAUCAUCAUCCCCAAUUGACUCCCUGCAUCUGCCUAGAGAAAAAGAAAAAGUGGCUAAGAUAAUUGAAACAAUAACCUGCCAUCAGAUUUGGGAGAGGGACAGGGAUAAAACUCACUGCUCAACUUCAGCAAAAUCUUAUUUAUAUAUCUUCUUUUCUUUUUCUGCUUUUUAAAAAGUGAAAGCAAGUUUACUAGCAAAGUAAAGGAAUAAAGAAUGGCUACUCCAUAGGCAAAGCAGACUACAAACCUUAUUUUCUGAUAAACAUUGUGAUUUUUUUUUAAAACCAGAGCAACACAGAGCAAAGUGAUGCUCUUGGAGGAAAAAAGGAAAGGACAGUAAUUUUCCACAAAAGCAAAACUAUAUAUGUGUGUGUGUGUAUGUACAUGUACAUGUGUGUGUAUGUAUGUGUAUUGUGUAGAGUGUUUUAUAUGUUUAUGCCACUGUAUUUUUUUGAGUAUGCUAAGUACCCUGAUUUGAUCAUUAUACAACAUAUAUAUAUCAAAACAUCAAAUUGUACCCCAUAAAUAUAUAUAAUUACAAUGUGUUGAUAAAAAU